rnacentral:lncRNA from 1 species
UGACUUUUACAGUUAAGGGAGUUGAUAUUUGUCUGGAUCCUGUUAUUUUGGGAGAGAUACUUCAUUUGCCCUGUGAGGGAUAUUCUUACAUGGAACUCCCAGUGAAGGAAGAGGGGAUCAGUGUAAUUCUAGGAGGAACCUACUCGAAAAGUUUGAAUAAAUUGGAAGCCAAAAUUUUGUCAAUUGAAAUGAGGAUCUUACAUCAAUUAGUGACAAAGCUCUUCUUCCCUAGGAGUGGUAGGCAUGACCUCCUUUCUGGCAGAGAUAUUUGUAUAAUGUUUCAUGUGAUCACUCAAACCCCAUUGAACCUCCCUGCUUUAAUGAUUGAGGUCAUGAAAGAGACACUGAACAGAUCCAAGGC